rnacentral:rRNA from 1 species
UACGAAGGGGGCGAGCGUUGUUCGGAUUUACUGGGCGUAAGGGGCGCGCAGGCGGCUAUCCAAGUCAGGCGUGAAAGCCCCGGGCUUAACCUGGGAGGUGCGUCUGGGACUGGGUGGCUAGAGUUCGGGAGAGGAGAGUGGAAUUCCCAGUGUAGAGGUGAAAUUCGUAGAUAUUGGGAAGAACACCGGUGGCGAAGGCGGCUCUCUGGACCGAGACUGACGCUGAGGCGCGAAAGCGUGGGGAGCGAACAGG